GACGAACGCUGGCGGCGUGCCUAAUACAUGCAAGUUGAGCGCUGAAGGUUGGUACUUGUACCGACUGGAUGAGCAGCGCACGGGUGAGUAACGCGUGGGGAAUCUGCCUUUGAGCGGGGGACAACAUUUGGAAACGAAUGCUAAUACCGCAUAAAAACUUUAAACACAAGUUUUAAGUUUGAAAGAUGCAAUUGCAUCACUCAAAGAUGAUCCCGCGUUGUAUUAGCUAGUUGGUGAGGUAAAGGCUCACCAAGGCGAUGAUACAUAGCCGACCUGAGAGGGUGGUCGGCCACAAUGGGACUGAGACACGGCCCAAACUCCUACGGGAGGCAGCAGUAGGGAAUCUUCGGCCAUGGACGAAAGGCUGACCGAGCAACGCCGCGGGAGGGAAGAAGGGUUUCGGAUCGGAAAACUCCGUUGGUAGAGAAGAACGUUGGUGAGAGUGGAAAGCUCAUCAAGUGACGGUAACUACCCAGAAAGGGACGGCUAACUACGUG
rnacentral:rRNA from 1 species